rnacentral:rRNA from 1 species
GCUCAGGACGAACGCUGGCGGCGUGCCUAACACAUGCAAGUCGAACGGAGAUAAGCGCUGAUGAUUUAGCUUGCUAGAGAUUCUUGCUUAUCUUAGUGGCGGACGGGUGAGUAACGCGUGAGCAACCUGCCUUUCAGAGGGGGAUAACGUCUUGAAAAGGACGCUAAUACCGCAUGAUAUUAUGGAGCCACAUGGCUCUAUAAUCAAAGGAGCAAUCCGCUGAAAGAUGGGCUCGCGUCCGAUUAGGUAGUUGGCGGAUAACAGCCCACCAAGCCGACGAUCGGUAGCCGGACUGAGAGGUUGAACGGCCACAUUGGGACUGAGACACGGCCCAGACUCCUACGGGAGGCAGCAGUA